rnacentral:rRNA from 1 species
GAUGAACGCUGGCGGCGUGCCUAAUACAUGCAAGUCGAGCGAACAGACGAGGAGCUUGCUCCUCUGACGUUAGCGGCGGACGGGUGAGUAACACGUGGAUAACCUACCUAUAAGACUGGGAUAACUUCGGGAAACCGGAGCUAAUACCGGAUAAUAUAUUGAACCGCAUGGUUCAAUAGUGAAAGACGGUUUUGCUGUCACUUAUAGGUGGAUCCGCGCCGCAUUAGCUAGUUGGUAAGGUAACGGCUUACCAAGGCGACGAUGCGUAGCCGACCUGAGAGGGUGAUCGGCCACACUGGAACUGAGACACGGUCCAGACUCCUACGGGAGGCAGCAGUAGGGAAUCUUCCGCAGUGGGCGAAAGCCUGACGGAGCAACGCCGCGUGAGUGAUGAAGGUCUUCGGAUCGUAAAACUCUGUUAUUAGGGAAGAACAAAUGUGUAAGUAACUAUGCACGUCUUGACGGUACCUAAUCAGAAAGCCACGGCUAACUACGU